AGCAUUGACUUAAGAGAUGCCAAGUAACUCAGCAGAUGUCACAUAGAUGAUUAAUAGCAAAGAUGGAAGUCUUCAUGCUAGAGGCAAUUCUGUAAGACAGCUGAGUCCUUCAGAGCUGGUAGGAGACAGACUUGCUCAGGUGAUAGAUCCACUCAUGAUAUUGGCCCUAAGAGAAUGAGACACUCUGUAGAAGACAUAGAAGAUUCCUGAAACUGGGAAAGGUUUCCCAUUGACUUGGAACUUGUCAAUUAGGUUAUGCUGGCUGGCCAGAAAGCUGCAGGAAUUCUCUUGUCUUGGUCUCCUGGCAUUGGGAUUAAACAGCUGGCAAAGCACCCUUUCACAGCACUAUGAAAGAUAUCCAACAGAAAGCAAGUCUCCACCUCUCUUCCAGCUUUGCUUUCUCUUCAUCUCAUAACUGAGAUGUAUGAUGUCUUCAGCAGUGGUAUCAGCAAGUUCUGGGUACCUGGAGGUGCAGCAGCCAUAUUGAAGCUAUGAGGUGAUGAUAAGCCCUCCAACUAGAAACCAGAAUGGAAAAACAGGAGAAGCUUGAUCCUUGACUGAAUUGUGGAUGGGAUAGUCCAUCAUCCCAUGGCUGAGACCACCUCCAGAUUUCUUGUUCACUGAAACAAUUCCUGAUUGUUUACAUUCCUUUAUGUUGAGCUGUGCCUUACUAGUAACUGAAAGCAUUUCUAAUAGAUAUUCAGAUUACCUGCACAGCAAGGAGCAGCCAGAGCUCUGGGGUUUCAACCUAGAAUACUCUAUGUGACCAUAGAUAAGUCUCUUAGCUUCUCCAUGAAUUCCUUUGCUCAUCUGUGUAAUGCUCAAUAAACGUAAAUUGAACCCUGAAUGAGGAA